UGUGUGUAUAUAAUUAAAAUGUAUUUAUACAUAAACCUGAUUUCAAUGGACAAGGAGAAUGAGAAAAAUACAUAACAUCAGUUAAAACCCAACAUCCCUUAUUAAAGAUUGAGCCACAUGUUACAAAUUUGGGGCCUCUGAACAAAACCAAAGUAAAGUUAGGAGGGGAAACAUUCUCGUUCCAAGAAGAGUCAAAAUCCAAUUUGUCAAAUACAUUUUGUUCUCAUUGCCAUUAAGAAUAAACACAAGUGGCGGAUUCCUAGCUCCAUGCCCAGCCCUUCUCAGUAUCUGCCUUCAGAUCCUUUUAUAUGGAAUUAAUUUACUCCUGCCUACCAGUUUUUUGAGAUUAUUCUAAUGGCAAUGGCCCUGAUCCAAAGCUUAUUAAAAUCAAUGGCAAGUCUUUCAUUGACUUCAAUGAGCUUUGGAUCAGACUUAACAUGAACCAAUAGGGCCCAUAUUCUGUUGCCAGGUUGCAAGAUCUGGCCCAUAUUUCCCUUCUUGGUGCAGACAUUGCUGUCACCUAAUGGUGGGCUGCUGGUCUGAACCUUUUUUAUUUGGGGGCUAACCCGGAUUCAAGAGCAGCUUCAGGACACUUGCUUAAGCUUCUUAGGGGGAAUAGGGCAGUCAUGCUGCUCUUGGGGGUCUUACUAACAAACCAUCAUGAAAUCCAGUGUGACCUAUAAUGGGUGGAUCUCCCCCCAAUUCAGCUCCUUUGCUGGCUGGGAAGCACAGUAUAAUGUUGCUAUAAAUACGGCAAAAAAUUAGUUCAUUUGAAAAAAGUGAAAGUUUGCUCAGAAUGAUAGCUCUCCACCCCAACUAUCAAUUGUGAUGAAAUGGCAAGACUUUUCCAG